CCGCCCCGCCCCGCCCCGCCCAGCCCUGAGAGCGGCGCUUCCAGACCUCGUACGGCUCUCACCCCGCUAGGAGCCCGAAGGAGCUCUCCCGGGCGCACGUGGGCAGCAGGCGGGUCGGGGAGAACCGCGGGGGUGAGCGGCGAAUCCAGAGGCCCAGAUCUAGCGGAUUGUCAAUUCUGCGUUGGAGGCCGGCUUCCGGGAACAAUGAGACAAUGACGUGAGUUCACUGAAUGUUAGUUUCUUGGGCGGCACGGCUGCUCGCUGUGGAGCCGGGAGCUGUACCUGAGCGCCUCCCCCUCCGGCACGUAACACAAUGGUACGGUCCACGCCAGGCCCUUCGUAGGGCUAGCGAGAUGGGACAUAUUUCUCCCGGCUCGGGACUCGAAAUCUUUCCUCAGAACUGGCUGAUUCCAUCUGUAAUUCCAGGCAGCAGAGUUACAAUAACAAGUUACAGAAAAACUAAAGCUCAGAUCAAUGCAAAUUUAGCACCAGAGCAUCGACAACACCAUGAAAUAGUAC
rnacentral:lncRNA from 1 species